UACAGAGGUCUCAAGCGUUGUUCGGAUUCAUUGGGCGUAAAGGGUGCGUAGGCGGCGCGGUAAGUCGGGUGUGAAAUCUUGGAGCUUAACUCCGAAACUGCAUUCGAUACUGCCGUGCUUGAGGACUGGAGAGGAGACUGGAAUUUACGGUGUAGCGGAUGAAAUGCGCAGAUAUCAGGAGGAACACCGGUGGCGAAGGCGGUGGGCUGGGCCGGAACUGACGCGUGAGGAGCGAAAGCGUGGGGAGCGAACAGG
rnacentral:rRNA from 1 species